ACUAGUCAGGAGGCUGAGAAGGUGUUGAAAACAACACUGGAAAUUAACGGAGGUAAAGAUGGAAAGGACUGGAAGAAACGAGGGGAAAAAUUAUACAGAGAAUGGACAGAAGAGGGCAGUAUUGCCGCGCCCAACAGGCUCACAGUCGAAGGGGAGCUUGGUAAAAUACUGGAGACACUGAAACGAAAAACAUAUAAAAGCAGUUCGGAGUAGAUAGAAAGAGUAAGGAGAAUCCUCGCUGGGGAAAAGCUUGGCCCUUUGAAUUGUAAUAUAUUCUGGGAAUUGUCUCAAUAGCGUUGGUGGUUCAGAGGUCAAGUUUUUGCCUACAACGCGGGAUACUCAGACCUCUGUCUCUUCAGGACCAUUCUAGCCCAAGGCCCCAGAGGCCAGUCUCAGGUGCCAGACUUCACAGGGCCAGCUCAGCCACCAGAGGGUCAGAGGAGACCCAGGGGGACAGAGGAGAAUGGGGGGCCCUGGUCAACAUGGAACUUCUUGGGUUGCCUAACAUUGGCAACACUUGCUUCCUAAACGCCACCCUGCAGUGCCUCCUGGUCCUGCCUUCCUUCUCAAAGGAAAUCCUAUGCCAGGAACAACUCUGGAACUCCUCCCCCUUCUCCAACCUGCUCAGGUGUCUGUCUGAUGUGCACCGUUCGGGUCUACCUGACAGUGGUGCAAACCAGGCCUCAAAAGCAGACCUCAUGUGGAAGGUCAAGUACUCCUUGUCGGGAUAUGAUUUGAAGUAUCUUGGGGACACGCAACAGGACGCAUACGAGUUACUUGUGAAUAUGCUGUGCCAGCUGAAGGAGAAGGGCAUGAUAGUGAAGAUGCUCGGAGUGAACUAUACCUGCCCUGUUUCCCAACUGGAGUUCCAGCUUGCGUCAGUGCGCACAUGUACCAGUGUGCUGAUUCUGCAUCUGAAGAGGUUUGGAGGACCUGGGGGGUUGGAGAAGCUGGAGACUCCUCUUUUGUUUCCUUCGGAGCUGAGGCUCUCCACCUUCUGUGGGGACACGGUGCCACCCCUGCACAGUGCCAGCCCAUAGGCCCUCACCAACCAGACCCUCGCCAGCAAAGUACCCAGCCCACCUGGAGAGGCCAAAGAUAGCGACCUCUGCUGUUCAGAAGCAGCCAGUGAAGUCAGUGAAUGGCUACUACCAGCUGACGCGGGAGGCUCCGCAAACUCCGGGCACUACAUUAGUGACAUCUUGAAUGCAAGUGGAAACUGGUUCUACUGUAACCACAGCCAGGUCUCAAUGUACAAUGAAGCCACUGUGCUGAGGACCAGAGCCCAGAGUGCUUACCUGCUCUUCUAUUUGUUCAGAGCAGGAGAGGAGGCCCCAGCACACAGGGCCUAACAGGGCCACCAGUCCCAGCCUCAACAGGUGCAGCACUUGGACCAGCCUCAACAGGGGUAGUUCCAGGCCCAGACUCAACACCCUCAGACCUGCCUCGACAGGGGUAGAACCAGGCCCAGUCUCAAAACCCCCAGCCUCAACAGGGGCAGCACUGACCCAGCCUCACAUCCCCAGCCCAACCUCAACACCUCCAUGUUUGCCCCUCUUCAUGUUUUUCCCUGACAACAUUCCCACUGUUGUGUAAAAGGAAAAGAAAAAUAACUUAAGGAAUCGGACCUCCAACCCCCCCUACAAAAAAAUGAUGACUGGUCUGUCAAUCAUGCGGCUCAAGGGAGACUUGAUCUUCAACACAAGCAUGAGCAUCCUUUUCAGUAACAUAUGUCAUAAAUAUCUGCCCUUGUUUUGACUACUUCACCUAAUCUAUAAAGCGGAUGUAAAAAAUAAAGUAUACACACUAAAUGUAGAACACAUGUAAAUGUGGGGGAUAGAGUCUCUGAUUAUUUAGAGGGAAUAAAAUACCUUCUAUUUGAAAUCCUCCUGUUUGGAAAUACACUGUGGUGUAUAACCUUAUUCAGCAAGGUCACACCGGAUCCACUGCGAUAUUCUACAUUGAUCCAGAUCCCCAGGAUAUUGGGAGAUUACUUGUGCAUGUCAUGCAAUUUCAAUAAAGAAAAACAAACUGAAGAUAAUCCAAUUGAAGAUAAUUCUGUUAACCGUUCUAACUCUUUCAGCUCAGGAAGCUUUAUCGUCUGGGAUUCAGGCCGGUCCUAAUAGGUAAGGAGACAUGCUAUGAGUAUAUUUUGAAGUUACUUUCCAGUUGUAUUUACCAUUUGAAUGAAUACAGACAUGAAAAUGCUGACCUAUGGAUGUAGCCUUGGUUCUCUGAGUGAGAUGCUUAAUAUCAAAAGUGAUGCCACACCCUUACUGUACCCAUGUGACCUGUCACCACAAAAGGGGGUGUGACGUGACAUACUGUCUUUUAUUCACUCACGUACAGUCCCCUAUGUAUUUAUUUCGACAGUUGAAGCUACAACUUUUAAUUUGGUUCUAUACUCAAGCAUUUUGGAUUUGAGAUAAAAUUGUUUCAUAUGACUAUAUAGAAUAGAAUGUCACCUUUUAUUUAAGGGUAA
ensembl:lncRNA